rfam:Gossypium hirsutum cultivar TM-1 chromosome 1, whole genome shotgun sequence
AUACUAUGAUAAGGACACUUAAUAAGUAAUUCCUUGAAUCUUUCCCACGCCUCAUACAAAAAUUCUUCAUCCAACUGUUGGAAAGUUGUUAUCUCAUUACGCAACUU